UGGUUCUGGCAUCGAUGAAGAACGCAGCGAAAUGCGAUAAGUAAUGUGAAUUGCAGAAUUUAGUGAAUCAUCGAAUCUUUGAACGCACAUUGCGCCCUUUGGUAUUCCGAAGGGCACAUCUGUUCGAGCGUCAUUACACACCUUCAAGCUAAGCUUGGAAUUGAGUAGUUUGUCUAUGAAAUACUGGACAUUCUCCAAAAUCUUCAGCAGUACUGUUUGGGUCUCAAGCGUAGUAAAUUUACUAUAAAUUCGUUUGUCAGACGUCAGAUGAAACUUGCUUUAACAACUCCUAUUUCAGGUUGACCUCGAAUCAGAUGGGGAUACCCGCUGA
rnacentral:misc_RNA from 1 species